rnacentral:rRNA from 1 species
CUUGAACGCUGGCGGAAUGCUUUACACAUGCAAGUCGAACGGUAGAGGGGGCAACCCCUCGAGAGUGGCGAACGGGUGAGUAAUAUAUCGGAACGUGCCCAGUCGUGGGGGAUAACGUAGCGAAAGUUACGCUAAUACCGCAUACGAUCUAAGGAUGAAAGCGGGGGAUCGCAAGACCUCGCGCGAUUGGAGCGGCCGAUAUCAGAUUAGGUAGUUGGUGGGGUAAAGGCUCACCAAGCCAACGAUCUGUAGCUGGUCUGAGAGGACGACCAGCCACACUGGAACUGGGACACGGUCCAGACUCCUACGGGAGGCAGCAGUGGGGAAUUUUGGACAAUGGACGCAAGUCUGAUCCAGCCAUUCCGCGUGCAGGAUGAAGGCCCUCGGGUUGUAAACUGCUUUUGUACGGAACGAAAAGGUCUCUCUUAAUACGGGGGACUCAUGACGGUACCGUAAGAAUAAGCACCGGCUAACUACGUGCCAGCCGCCGCCGUAAGAC